UUCCUAUUGGUGUAAUAGCACGGAAAAAUUUGGUUUUUCAAGAAUUUAAUAUGUGGGAAA
rnacentral:tRNA from 1 species